rnacentral:lncRNA from 1 species
AUGCUGUGUUUAACCAUUAAAUUUUUCUGUUCAUUUUGUACAAUAUUUUUCUGUUUUUUUAGCAUUCAAUGAAUGACAGAUUUGCAUUUUAACUAUUUAGGUACUGAAAAUUGGGAGCAGGAGUGUUUGGAGUUUUUAAAGGUUUUUUUUUUUUUUUUUUCCCCCAAAAUGCAGGGCUAUAGAUUUUAAAAUUAUUUCAAUCCAAUCAGUAUUUUAAGAAUGUUGAAUACCAGCUUAAGUAAGCUUGGUAAAUCCUGGUUCUAGAGAGAUGGCUCAGUGGUUAAGAGCACUGACCUCCUCUUCCUAGAGGUCCUGAGCUCAAUUCCCAGCAAGCACAUAGUGGCUCACAACCAUCUGUAAUGGGAUCCAGUGCCCUCUUCUGCUGUGGCAGUGACAGCUACAGUGGACUCAGAGAAGUAAAAUAAGUCUUUUUUUUUUUUAAGUAGAUUUUUUAAAACUGCAUGUAUCACCAGAACUAAUUAUGUCUUUUUACAGAGGCAUAAGUGAAAAUCACUGGUAUUUAAACACAAGAAUUUAUGUGUAAUAAUGCUAAUGUUUGAGGAAGAUGAAUAAGUAACAAUACUAACAAUGUUGAUUGUGGUUAGAAACAGUUAUGAUAGAACUUUAAGAGGUGGAAAAGCUUAGUUUGCAUAUAUAUAUAUAUAUAUAUAUAUAUAUAUAUAUAUAUAUAUAUAUGUAUAUACACGUAUUCCUUAAUUUGAAAGAUCUCAAACUUGGGGAAGUGUUUGAAGUCUUUUACAUAUGGAUAAGUUGCUUCACAGUCAUUGACUAUUGAUAACUCAGAGUGAACAUCCAAAAUCUCAAUUCUAGUUCUUAGCUUUCCUAGCCAUAUCAAUAUACAAUAUAUUUGACUAAAUUUCCCUUGGAUUCCCCUGUACUCCAUGCUGGAAAUGGAAUGCUGAUUCUUCAUGCAUGUUGCAGUUGCUCUCCCACUAGCCCCAGGUUUGGUGUUUAUAAUGCUAUACUAAAGAAUUAGUAUGAUAUGUUGUAAACAAGUUCCAAAUAGAUUAUCUUCACUUGUGAUAACUCAUACUGAACAUUUCUGUGUUGAGUGGUUAUUCAGUCUUUGUGCUGUAAGGUCCCACUUUCUGUUUUCCUAUUUUGUAUAUUUUUUAAGGACAAAGUAAACUUAGGAUGCCAUUUGUUGUUGUUUUUGUUUUGUUUUUGUUUUUUUGAAGAUUUGCUUCCAAUUGAAAUUUUUCUUGAAUGUUCUGUAUAUGUGUUUAUAUAUUUCUGAUAAGAUGCUCACUCAGUUAAUGGGUGAGGGACACAAGACAAAACAGGUUCUCCCCUGGAAAAUGGUAACCAAGAUGGCUUCAUGGCAGAAAGUGAGUUUAGUUGGAGAACUCAGGUAUUGAAAAGGUAUACUGUUCUCU